AGAGUUUGAUCCUGGCUCAGGAUGAACGCUAGCGGCAGGCUUAAUACAUGCAAGUCGAGGGGCAGCGCAGUGUAGCAAUACAUGGGCGGCGACCGGCAAACGGGUGCGGAACACGUACGCAACCUUCCUUUAAGUGAGGGAUAGCUUUCGGAAACGAAAAUUAAUACCUCGUAACAUCGUUGGAUGGCAUCAUCUGAUGAUUAUAGCUCCGGCGCUUAAAGAUGGGCGUGCGCCUGAUUAGGUAGUUGGCGGAGUAACAGCCCACCAAGCCUACGAUCAGUAACUGGUGUGAGAGCACGACCAGUCACACGGGCACUGAGACACGGGCCCGACUCCUACGGGAGGCAGCAGUAAGGAAUAUUGGUCAAUGGACGCAAGUCUGAACCAGCCAUGCCGCGUGGAGGAUGAAGGUCCUCUGGAUUGUAAACUUCUUUUAUCGGAGAAGAAACCCUCAAAUUCUUUUGGGGUUGACGGUACCCGAUGAAUAAGCACCGGCUAACUCCGUGCCAGCAGCCGCGGUAAUUC
rnacentral:rRNA from 1 species